GGAAAAUAGAACAUCAAGACCUCUCAAAGAAGUCUUGUUUUUGGGAAAGUAGAGACUUUUAUAUAUAGAAGAAGAACAUCAACAUCAAGUCUCAAAGAUAGGUUGAUUCUUUUUUUUUUUGUUUUAUCUGUCUUUUCUAAUGAGGAUUUUGGUGAUAGGGGAGGAGAGUAUGGUUGAAGAGAAGAUCAGAGACAUGGAAGCUACAGAAGAGG
rnacentral:lncRNA from 1 species